CAGUAGCCGCGGGAAUACGAAGGGGGCUAGCGUUGUUCGGAAUUACUGGGCGUAAAGCGCACGUAGGCGGAUACUUAAGUCAGGGGUGAAAUCCCGGGGCUCAACCCCGGAACUGCCUUCGAUACUGGGUAUCUCGAGUCCGGAAGAGGUGAGUGGAAUUCCGAGUGUAGAGGUGAAAUUCGUAGAUAUUCGGAGGAACACCAGUGGCGAAGGCGGCUCACUGGUCCGGUACUGACGCUGAGGUGCGAAAGCGUGGGGAGCAAACAGGAUUAGAUACCCCAGUAGUCCCUGUCUCUUAUAC
rnacentral:rRNA from 1 species